rnacentral:rRNA from 1 species
GACGAACGCUGGCGGCGUGCUUAACACAUGCAAGUCGAACGGAAAGGCCCUGCUUGCAGGGUGCUCGAGUGGCGAACGGGUGAGUAACACGUGGGUGAUCUGCCCCUUACUUUGGGAUAAGCCUGGGAAACUGGGUCUAAUACUGGAUAGGACCAUGCUGUAGGUGGUGUGGUGGAAAGAUUAGCUUCGGUAAGGGAUGAGCUCGCGGCCUAUCAGCUUGUUGGUGGGGUAAUGGCCUACCAAGGCGUCGACGGGUAGCCGGCCUGAGAGGGUGGACGGCCACAUUGGGACUGAGAUACGGCCCAGACUCCUACGGGAGGCAGCAGUGGGGAAUAUUGCACAAUGGGCGCAAGCCUGAUGCAGCGACGCCGCGUGGGGGAUGACGGCCUUCGGGUUGUAAACUCCUUUCAGCCAUGACGAAGCCCUUGUGGUGACGGUAGUGGUAGAAGAAGCACCGGCUAACUACGUG